rnacentral:rRNA from 1 species
CCAACCGGGAUUGCCUUAGUAACGGCGAGUGAAGCGGCAAAAGCUCAAAUUUGAAAUCUGGUACCUUCGGUGCCCGAGUUGUAAUUUGGAGAGGGCAACUUUGGGGCCGUUCCUUGUCUAUGUUCCUUGGAACAGGACGUCAUAGAGGGUGAGAAUCCCGUGUGGCGAGGAGUGCGGUUCUUUGUAAAGUGCCUUCGAAGAGUCGAGUUGUUUGGGAAUGCAGCUCUAAGUGGGUGGUAAAUUCCAUCUAAAGCUAAAUAUUGGCGAGAGACCGAUAGCGAACAAGUACAGUGAUGGAAAGAUGAAAAGAACUUUGAAAAGAGAGUGAAAAAGUACGUGAAAUUGUUGAAAGGGAAGGGCAUUUGAUCAGACAUGGUGUUUUGUGCCCUCUGCUCCUUGUGGGUAGGGGAAUCUCGCAUUUCACUGGGCCAGCAUCAGUUUUGGUGGCAGGAUAAAUCCAUAGGAAUGUAGCUUGCCUCGGUAAGUAUUAUAGCCUGUGGGAAUACUGCCAGCUGGGACUGAGGACUGCGACGUAAGUCAAGGAUGCUGGCAUAAUGGUUAUAUGCCGCCCGUCUUGAAACACGGACCUCCUGUGUGAGGGUUCCCCUAAUAGUG